GAUGAACGCUGGCGGCGUGCCUAAUACAUGCAAGUCGAGCGAACAGACGAGGAGCUUGCUCCUCUGACGUUAGCGGCUGACGGGUGAGUAACACGUGGAUAACCUACCUAUAAUACGGGGAUAACUUCGGGAAACCGGAUCUAAUACCGGAGAAUAUAUUGAACCGCAGGGUUCAAUAGUGAAAGACGGUUUUGCUGUCACUUAUAGAUGGAUCCGCGCCGCAUUAGCUAGUUGGUAAGGUAACGGCUUACCAAGGCAACGAUGCGUAGCCGACCUGAGAGGGUGAUCGGCCACACUGGAACUGAGACACGGUCCAGACUCCUACGGGAGGCAGCAGUAGGGAAUCUUCCGCAAUGGGCGAAAGCCUGACGGAGCAACGCCGCGUGAGUGAUGAAGGUCUUCGGAUCGUAAAACUCUGUUAUUAGGGAAGAACAACUGUGUAAGUAACUAUGCACGUCUUGACGGUACCUAAUCAGAAAGCAACGGCUAACUACGUG
rnacentral:rRNA from 1 species